rnacentral:sRNA from 1 species
CCCACGCCACUAUGCUAUCUCUAACUCUGCCAUCCAGACCGAGCAAACGUACUUAAGACCUUUGUGUAAGAUCAGAAAAUCAUAAGACAGCAUUAAAAGUACUAUACAGGAGGAGAUGGAACAAGAUGGCCAAAUAGAAGCCUCCAGCAAUCAUCUCCCCCAAAGGAAUUGAACAACUAUCAAAACAAAAUUGAACAACUAUCUAAACAAAAAAAGUACCUUCAUAAAAAGCAAAAAUCAGGACAAUAUCAGAAUGGCACAUACAAGUGUCCCCAAGUCAUAUUUGGAAUAAGAUCACUUGGGAACACAAGUCAAAGAAGGACACAGUGUUCUGCCUCUCCUGAGUAAGCAGCAACAAGGCACCAUCUUGGAAUCAGAGGGCAGCCCUCACCAGACAACUAAAUCUGCAGACACCUUGGACUUCCCAGCCUCCAGAACUGUCUUUCUGGCAACUGUCUAAACAUAAACCAGAGAAGGGCAAGGCAGACUCAGGAAGGACAAAUAGAAGGCUAUUUUCAUAAAUCGGAACACCACCACAUGUGCAGCAUCCCUCUGGGUCUCUUCCAUGACAACCCUGUGGGAAGCCAGCUUGGCAGGUCACCUUGUUCUAGCAGAUAGAAACUGAAUCAAUAUGGGAAGAGCCAGAAUUUGGACAAGGUUCACCAAACAUUCACACUGAUGCCAGCCAUUCCACUUCCUUGGCCUCAGAUAUUGGGCACAGUUAACUUCUAGUUGUAGGGCAACAAUUCUAGAAGAGUUCCAAUUCUCAUCAGGAGAAUGGACAAGGUGGAGAAGCAGAGAAAAUGCAAUGAGUAGAAUGUCUAAGUCAUCACUUUGGAAUUGACUGAACAUAAAUAAAAAUGAGAAAGAUACGUAAAAAAGAAGGGAAUGGAUGCCACAGCCCCCAUUUUGCCAACGAGGCAGCUGAGGUUCCCAGAGGCUCAAUACCAGCACCAUGGGCGGCAGCACGCAAGGCAAACACAGCCGGAGGAUUUUAAUGCCUUUUGUAAAGACCUGCCUAAUGGUUCUGCCUUCAGUGCAGACAAUAUGGAAGAGUGUGACAGAUGUUAUCAUUGCUCCAUUGUGUACGAGCGUAGGACGAUGCUUCUCUUCUGUCAGC